rnacentral:rRNA from 1 species
AGAGUUUGAUCCUGGCUUAGGAUGAACGCUAGCGGCAGGCUUAACACAUGCAAGUCGAGGGGCAGCGGGAUGUAGCAAUACAUUGCCGGCGACCGGCGGAUGGGUGCGUAACGCGUAUGCAACCUACCUUAUACAGGGGAAUAACCUUUCGAAAGGGAGACUAACACCCCAUAGUAUUGAUUUUAAGGCAUCUUAGAUUAAUUAAAUAUUUAUAGGUAUAAGAUGGGCAUGCGUAUGAUUAGCUAGUUGGUAAGGUAACGGCUUACCAAGGCGACGAUCAUUAGGGGUUCUGAGAGGAAGGUCCCCCACACUGGUACUGAGACACGGACCAGACUCCUACGGGAGGCAGCAGUGAGGAAUAUUGGUCAAUGGGCGCAAGCCUGAACCAGCCAUGCCGCGUGCAGGAAGACGGCCUUAUGGGUUGUAAACUGCUUUUACAUAAGACUAACCGUAUAUUUGCGAAUAUACCUGAAUGUAUUAUGAGAAUAAGGAUCGGCUAACUCCGUGCCAGCCGCGGC